rnacentral:RNase_P_RNA from 1 species
CGGCGGGGGUAAUCUGUUUCCUCUGAUGCUGCCGCUCAGAGGAAAGUCCGGACUGGGAAGGGCAACCUGCUGUGGAAAGCACAGAUGGGAGUAAUCUUAUGGAUGCCGUAGCAGAAAACAGACCGCCCGAAAGGGUAAGGGUGAAACCGCGAGGUAAGAGCUCACGACGUCGUAUGGCGACAUACGGCGGUGACGGCACCAGGUCCAGCAAGGCCAAAUAUACUGGAAUGCCCGGAAGGGCAAGGGGCUGCCCGCUCCUUUCCAGGGGGUAGGCUGCGAAGAUAAAUGACAGAUUAAAACAGAAACCGGCUUACGGUUCUGCCUAUUC